rnacentral:rRNA from 1 species
UACGGGGGGGGUAAGCGUUGUUCGGAAUUACUGGGCGUAAAGGGCUCGUAGGCGGCCAACUAAGUCAGACGUGAAAUCCCCAGGCUUAACCUGGGAACUGCAUCCGAUACUGGAUGGCUUGAAUCCGGGAGAGGGAUGCAGAAUUCCAGGUGUAGCGGUGAAAUGCGUAGAUAUCUGGAGGAAUACCGGUGGCGAAGGCGGCAUCCUGGACCGGCAUUGACGCUGAUGAGCGAAAGCUAGGGGAGCGAACGGG